GCAGAGUAGGAGCAUGCGUGCAGCACCCCGGAAGGGGUCCAGUGCCGGCGGGACGGGGAGUUGUCCGCCGGACGAAAAGCCGAAGGGCUUGCAGUGCGUGCCCCGCAUCCCGCUGC
rnacentral:ncRNA from 1 species